GGGGAUGUGGCUCAAGAGGUAGCGCACUCACCUGGCACGUGUGCGGCCUGGGUUCGAUCCUCAGCACCACA
rnacentral:tRNA from 1 species